rnacentral:rRNA from 1 species
CCUACGGGNGGCAGCAGUGGGGAAUAUUGCACAAUGGGGGAAACCCUGAUGCAGCGACGCCGCGUGAAGGAAGAAGGUCUUCGGAUCGUAAACUUNUAUCAGCAGGGAAGAAGGAAGUGACAGUACCUGAGUAAGAAGCCCCGGCUAACUACGUGCCAGCAGCCGCGGUAAUACGUAGGGGGCGAGCGUUAUCCGGAAUUACUGGGUGUAAAGGGUGCGUAGGCGGUAUGGCAAGUCAGUUGUGAAACCCCCUGGCUCAACCAGGGGCUUGCAAUUGAAACUGUCAUACUAGAGUGCAGGAGAGGAAAGCGGAAUUCCUAGUGUAGCGGUGAAAUGCGUAGAUAUUAGGAAGAACACCAGUGGCGAAGGCGGCUUUCUGGACUGUAACAGACGCUGAGGCACGAAAGCGUGGGGAGCGAACAGGAUUAGAUACCCUGGUAGUCCACGCCGUAAACGAUGAGUGCUAGGUGUUGGGGUCUAAUUANNUCUCGGUGCNGAAGNAACGCAUAAGCACUCC